CUUUUGAGUUGAACAGUAAACAUUAAAAAAACUACAAAAUGAAAUUCCUUACUUUUGGAUUCUUAAUUGCAAUGAUUGUGGCUCUAUUCGCCAAUACCAUCGCCCAAAAUGAUCCAAUUGUAAAUGUAUAUGCAGAGGACGAUUCUCACUCUCAUUCCAAUUCUCAUUCAGAGGAACAUAUUUCCUUUGUUUAGCUCCUUUCGCUGAAAUGGGGUAGAAGUAAAUUUCAAGCAUUUAAGGAUACGAUUAGUUUAUGUAUUAAAAGCUGCUUUUGGUUCCUUUAUGAAUUUACUCAGUUACAGAAACCGAAAUUUACUUUUUACUAAUUAAAGAGAUGAAAUUUAAUUGAAUAAAUUAUGCACUAAUAUA